CCUACGGGUGGCAGCAGUGAGGAAUAUUGGUCAAUGGCCGCAGGGCUGAACCAGCCAAGCCGCGUGCGGGAUGACGGUCCUAUGGAUUGUAAACCUCUUUUGUCAGGGAGCAAACGGCGCCACGCGUGGCGUUUUGCGAGUACCUUACGAAAAAGCAUCGGCUAACUCCGUGCCAGCAGCCGCGGUAAUCCGGAGGAUGCGAGCGUUAUCCGGCUUUAUUGGGUUUAAAGGGUGCGAAGGCGGAAGGUACAGUCGGAGGGAAACUCUCGGGGUUAAACCCCGUCGUGCCGUUGAUACUGGCGUGCUAGAGUGUGGGAGAAGUAUGCAGAAUGCGUGGUGUAGCGGUGAAAUGCAUAGAGAUCACGCAGAACACCGAUUGCGAAGGCAGCAUACCGG
rnacentral:rRNA from 1 species